rnacentral:lncRNA from 1 species
GGGAAGCAAGCCAUCGUGUGGCAGAGGCCCAGGUGGCAAGGAACCAAGGGCGGCUUCUGGCCAACAGCCAGCGAGGACCUGAGACCGUAGCCCAACACCCCUCCAGGAACUGAAUUUUGCCAGCAACCAGUGAGUGACCUUGGAAGUGGAUCCUUCCCCCGAAAGCCCGGCUUUCAGACGGAGGCUGGUGGGACCUCAACCCCAGCUGGUAUCCAGGCUCUUGACACCAUCUGGAGAAGGAAUUCAAGAGUGUGUCAGAAAAUGAUGAAAGUACAAAGAUUUAUUGCAAAGCGAAAAAUACACACUCAAGAAAGGGGAGUAUGGGUGGACUCAAGACAGAGUCCGAUGGGACUUGGGGUUUCUACCUUUUGGGUUUCUUUUUUUUUUUUUUUUGAUAUGGAGUCUCGCACUGUUGCCCAGGCUGGAGCGCAGUGGCGUGAUUUUGGCUCACUGCAACCUCUGCCUCCCGGGUUAAAACGAUUCUCCUGCCUCAGCGUCCCAAGUAGCUGGGAUUACAGGCUCCCACCACCAUGCCCGGCUAAUUUUUGUAUUUUUAGUAGAGACGAGGCCUCACCAUAUUGGCCAGGCUGUUCUCGAACUCCGGACCUUAGGUGAUCUGCCUGCCUCAGCCUCCCAAAGUGCUGGGAUUACAGGCGUGAGCCACCAUGCCCAAUGGGUGUGGGAUUUAGUAUAUUAAUGAGUGUAUAAUGAGGUCCUUGGUGAAACCUACAUCAAAUCCAGCACCGUGUUGGGUCCAGUCUGUCUUAGCCAGCUUGGUCCACACCCUGGUUUUUUAGGGUCUUAUUGGCCCCUUACUUCUGCAGCAAAAGUUUCCUUUUGCUAGUCAUGUGAAACUGCCACCUGGAAUUUUCUAUUCUCUAGUGACCACCCUGUAUUAUUCCUGUCUCACUGGGACCCUAAGAAAUUGGGAAUUCCAACUACACAUCCAAAAUAGUUUGACUAAAACUGUUGAAAAAAGAAAAAAAUAAUGGCAUAAAGUAUUGCUUGACUAAAUUCCAGCCAGGUGCAUUGGCCACUUUAGGUCGGGUGUGGUGGCUCAUGCUUGUAAUCCCAGCAUUUUGGGAGGCUGAGGCGGGAGGAUCACUUGAGGUCAGGAGUUCCAAACCAGUCUGGCCAAAAUGGUAAAACCCCCUCUCUACUAAAAAUACAAAAAUUAGCCGGACCUGGUGGCGGAAGCCUGUAAUCCCAGCUACUCUGGAGGCUGAGGCACGAAAAUUGCUUGAACCCAGGAGGUGGAGGUUGCAUUGAACCAAGAUCAUACCACUGCACUCUAGCCUGUGUGACAGAGAAAGAUUCCGUCUCAAGAAACAAAAACAAAAAUGAAAAACAAACAAAAAGAAAGCCCAUUCUAUCUUUUUUAUUUUUUAUUUUUUUGAGACAGGGUCUCGCUCUGUCACUCAGGCUGGAGUGCCACAGCGCGAUCUCUGCUCACUACAACCUCCAUCUCCCAGGCUCAAGCACUCCUCCCACCUCAGCCUCCUGAGUAGCUGGGACCACAGGCACAGAAACCCCACUGUAAAUAAAGAGAGGUAGGCUUUUAAAAAUGUCACUCUGUUCACAGUAAGGCAAGCAAGGGAAGCAAAAUCAAUUUCUUUCUAGAGGUGGGAUAAUGGGUAGGGAGUGGAAGACUUUAGGAAAGAGGUGCCCCAGUUUCUGAGUCACUUCAUGGCUUCAAUAUUCAUUGACUAUCAAUCAACAGAUGAAUGGAUAUACAAAAGGUGGUAUCUCUGUUGCAGCAGGUAGUUAGUCAGAGCUGAGCAGGGAAGGAGAGGCUCCUCCGCCCCAUCAGGAGAUGAUCAGGCAGUUGUUAAACUGUCUCUCUCAAAUAAUCAUUGGUUGCAGCCGAUGCCAGGGAAAGACAGUCUCCCAGUAGAUAGAAACGCCAGAAACUGGUGAUCAGCAGCUUCCCAGUAAGAUCUCAGGAGGUGGGUGAGUGGGCUUAAGCAUGUGCAUGAAGAGGCAAAAUGGUUGAGCUUAGCUGGUACAUGACCUUCCUCUAGGAACACUCAACUGAUAAGGGAAGAACACCUCAAGUGAGCACACAUAUAGCUUCAGUAAACACACUCACAUGCAGCCCCUCCCAAGUGCUGGCAGGCCAUUGUACAUGCAGACUGCCAACAUAUAAAACCACAAGUCAAAGGUCAAACCAUGCACUUGAAUCUCUCAAGGUCCCUACUGGCCCUCUUCCACGUGUACUUUAUUUCCUUGCAUUCCUGUUCUAAAAC